rnacentral:lncRNA from 1 species
AUUUAAGUCGCGGGACUCAAUAUGGCGGCGCGCGCUCGGCCGCUUGACCCCGGUGUCCCCUAAAGCGGGAGGUCUUCAGCAAGGUGAGGUUCCUCUGACCAAGAAGCCGGCUGCCCAGAUGCACUAAGCACUAAGCAAUAUGCCUCCCUCGCAUAUUCCGGUGUCAUGCUCCAUCAUAAGUGACUAGACAUAGUUCCAGUGCUACCCAGCAGGAUCUCAUUGCUCAUGCAUUCCAAAGGCAAGAGUCUGCAUCUCAAAAAAUCAAAUACCUGGGAAUACACCUGACCAAGGAGUUCCUGAGCAUUGACCACAAUAGCCCUUUCGGUGGUCCUGGUGGCAGCCGUCCAGCCAGUUCUGCUGUCGUCUUUCUCGUGUGUUCCCAGCUGACACUACGAUUCAGCUCAGAAAAAGCUGGUGUUCAUUUAGUGGGUUCUCUUAAUCGUCAACGUUGGAUGACCAGUAAAUCUGCUCAAUAAGGGAGAGAAAUUGUGUGUACGUGUGUGUGUGUGUGUGUGUGUGUGUGUGUGUGUGUAUAACUAAUCUUAAGUAUAUUUUACAUCCAAAUUUGAUCAAAUUUAUUUUUUUGGCAAAUGUAAUAAAGCUACUUAUAGACCCUAUCCCACUUCCUAAGAAAUAUAAUUUUUUGAUGCAGCCCAUUGUAGUAUGUGUGUGUGCAUCUGUGUGUGUGCACAUGUGUUGAUGGAGGCCAGAUUGCGUGGAGGCAGAAGCCAGAUUGUGUGUAUGUGUGUGCGUAAUUAAGGCUUUUAGCAUGCACUUUAUUUGAUUUGAAUUUGAUCUUCUUUAAGUGCAGGGUGAAACAUAGAAUCAAGCCUCACAAAGAAAUCCAAAAGCAUUGUAAAAAUUGUACAGUUUCAAACAUCAUUCAGAUGCAAACUCACGCCUGGCCAUGAUUUGAUCCAACAGGCCCCAAGGAUUGGUUUGGAUUUCUCUUGUCCUAGAUUUUCCAGACUUGGAGCUCUUUGUCAGGUGGCCUCUAUGCUCAUUGGUCAGGCUAUCAGACCUGUUGAAAACCAGCCAUCCUCUGACACCGCCUCGUUCAGUCAGUGUAACGAAUCUUUGCUCUCCGUGUCCAGGCCAAUGGGUUUAAUCUGGCAGUCGUGACGCGAGUUGGCGCCUAAGGCCCAUGUGUUUCUCCUGCACAUCUUGAAUAUUCUCUAUUUUGAGGCACCCCCCCUGCAGUGCCUCCAACCAUUCAGAGGUGGUUCCCAAACCUUCUGUAAAGCUCCCCCUGGCAUCCUUUUGUGACUCUCAGUUGGGACUCCCAAAGAAGGGGCUCCCCCGACCCAAGCAUUCAGGAACUACCCCAUGGAGUAAACAUCUCCAUUUUCGUUGAAAAAGCCCAGCAUCACCAGAUUGGGCAUUGCUGGUAAGUUCUCACGUGCUGACUGGUGUCAGACAAAAGAGUGAUGCUGUUUUAAUUUUCAUUUGGCACCUCUUUCUGCCCCAUGGCCCUGGCCAAGAUGUUCAGACGCUUUUAGUGGGGAGGGUAUACAGCUUGUGUCCUCCACUGCUUCCAGGUGGGCAUACAGGUUCUGACCAAAGGCCAGAUUCCCACCACACUUGUGCUCCAUGCUCCUCCAGAAUUCCCUUCCUUCACCUCCUGGGGCAGACCAAGGCUUCGGGAAACAGACAAAAAGAGAACCUCCGGUAUGUUAGGGCAGCAGAGAAUGGGCAGCACAGGAGCUGAGAGCUGUUACCAGACCCCGACGAUGGGGUUACAGGUAUCAUUGCCUCUGAUGGGCCCGACCGGAUGCGCAAGGCCUACGUCAGCAUCCCCGUCUGGGCACGCGCUGGUCUCCUAACCUGCGCCUGCGCCCUUCACGCUACCCGCAAGGGCGCGGCGACUUGUGAAUUUCUGCGCCUGCUCUCUAGUGCCUCCUUGCUCCAGGUCUUUGGGAACGUCUUUCUCUUUCUGUGCCGUGUGUCAGUUGUGCCUCAUCUGAUAUCAUCCAGCACAUGACAUCGUAGAGAAUAGGAGACCCUAACCGCCCUCCAGCGGAAGCAGGAUGCGUGACUGCUCCUGCUGCCGCCGCCCUUCUCCGUGUCUUCGCGUUCCUGUUGGAGGAUUAGAACACAGGCAUUUGGAGUCACUCCUCCGUGUGCAUCGGAUGACUGCUGCUCACCGCUGCCCUGUAGGUUUGGGAACUCUAUUUUCUAGGGUCCCCUCUGCACGUGGGUUUCGGGGCAGAGCCAGCUCACAUCAUCCGGUUCGGGGGCUCCUUUACGCGUCAGGCCGGGGGCGGGGUCUUCCUGCAGGGGCUGCUCCACCGGGCAGCCGUCCCUCCCCUUGAGCUGCUUCUGCGUCUCCUACCCCUUGGUAAACAGGUCAUUGUCUGUAAAUUCGCUGCUUGAACGCAUAGCGCGCUAGUGGCAGACACAGUAAGAGAAAUCCAACAUUAUUCAUAUCCCAGGACAAAGAAUCAAAUUACUGAUCAAAUCACUGAGGGAACCUUUAGGGAAACAAGUGUUCUUUAAGCCCUUUACUUAAGUGGCUUAAAGAAUUCCUAAAAUCACUUUCUUCUCCUGAAGGAAGUUUCUGAGCCAGCGGUGAACACACUAAGAAUUACAUUCAGGGAGUUCCCGUCAUGGCGCCGAAGAAACGAAUCCGACUAGGUUGCAGGUUCGAUCCCUGGCCCCGCUCAGUGGGUGAAGGAUCCAGCGUUGCCUUGAGCUGUGGUGUAGGUUGAAGACGCAGUUCGAAUCUGGCGUUGCUGGAGCUGUGGUGUAGGCCAGCAGCUGCAGCUCUGAUUUGACCCCUAGCCUGGGAACCUCCAUAUGCCGCAGGUGU